UAAGCUAUGAACCGAAGCUUGGGGUGCAUAUUUUUAUAUGCGCGGUAGAGGAGCGUUCCGUAAGCCUGUGAAGGUGAGUUGAGAAGCUUGCUGGAGGUAUCGGAAGUGCGAAUGCUGACAUGAGUAACGAUAAUAUGGGUGAAAAACCCAUACGCCGAAAGCCUAAGGUUUCCUUGCGCAACGUUAAUCGGCGCAGGGUUAGUCGGCCCCUAAGGCGAGGGCGAAAGCCGUAGUCGAUGGGAAGCAGGUUAAUAUUCCUGCACCUCGCGUGAGUGCGAUGGAGGGACGGAGAAGGCUAGGUGUACCGGGCGUUGGUUGUCCCGGGGAAAGGAGGUAGGCUGGGUCCUUAGGAAAAUCCGGGGGUCCUUUUAAAGCCGAGCACCGAGACGAGUCUUUUUUAGAUGAAGUCACUGAUGCCACGCUUCCAGGAAAAGCUUCUAAGCUUCAGCUCACGAAGACCGUACCGUAAACCGACACAGGUAGGUAGGAUGAGAAUUCUCAGGCGCUUGAGAGAACUCGGGUGAAGGAACUAGGCAACAUGGCACCGUAACUUCGGGAGAAGGUGCACCCUUUUUGGUGGCGCGUGCGCGUUAUAGCUGAAGAGGGUCGCAGAAACCAGGCCGCUGCGACUGUUUAUCAAAAACACAGCACUCUGCAAACACGAAAGUGGACGUAUAGGGUGUGACGCCUGCCCGGUGCUGGAAGGUUAAUUGAUGGGGUUAGCUGUAAAAGGCGAAGCUCUUGAUCGAAGCCCCAGUAAACGGCGGCCGUAACUAUAACGGUCCUAAGGUAGCGAAAUUCCUUGUCGGGUAAGUUCCGACCUGCACGAAUGGCGUAACGACAGCGGCGCUGUCUCCACCCGAGACUCAGUGAAAUUGAAAUCGCUGUGAAGAUGCAGCGUUCCCGUGGCAAGACGGAAAGACCCCGUGAACCUUUACUAUAGCUUUACACUGAACGUUGAGUUCGUCUGUGUAGGAUAGGUGGGAGGCUAUGAAACCACGACGCUAGUUGUGUUGGAGCCAUCCUUGAAAUACCACCCUGUCGUGCUUGACGUUCUAACCUAGUUCCGUUAUCCGGAUCAGGGACAGUGUAUGGUGGGUAGUUUGACUGGGGCGGUCUCCUCCCAAAGAGUAACGGAGGAGCACGAAGGUACGCUCAGCGCGGUCGGACAUCGCGCACUGUGUGCAAAGGCAUAAGCGUGCUUGACUGCGAGAUCGACGGAUCAAGCAGGUACGAAAGUAGGUCUUAGUGAUCCGGUGGUUCUGUAUGGAAGGGCCAUCGCUCAACGGAUAAAAGGUACUCCGGGGAUAACAGGCUGAUACCGCCCAAGAGUUCAUAUCGACGGCGGUGUUUGGCACCUCGAUGUCGGCUCAUCACAUCCUGGGGCUGUAGUCGGUCCCAAGGGUAUGGCUGUUCGCCAUUUAAAGUGGUACGCGAGCUGGGUUCAGAACGUCGUGAGACAGUUCGGUCCCUAUCUGCCAUGGGCGUUGGAGAUUUGAGAGGGGCUGCUCCUAGUACGAGAGGACCGGAGUGGACGAACCUCUGGUGUUCCGGUUGUCACGCCAGUGGCAUUGCCGGGUAGCUAUGUUCGGAAGCGAUAACCGCUGAAAGCAUCUAAGCGGGAAGCGCGCCUCAAGAUGAGAUCUCCCGGGAUGUAAAUCCCCUAAAGGAACCAUGUAGACUACGUGGUGGAUAGGUCAGGUGUGUAAGUGCAGCAAUGCAUUGAGCUAACUGAUACUAAUGAUCCGUGUGGCUUGACCAU
rnacentral:rRNA from 1 species